rnacentral:rRNA from 1 species
CUACGGGGGGCUCCAGUGGGGAAUAUUGCACAAUGGAGGAAACUCUGAUGCAGCAACGCCGCGUGGAGGAUGACACUUUUCGGAGCGUAAACUCCUUUUAUAUAGGAAGAAGAUGACGGUACUAUAUGAAUAAGCGCCGGCUAACUCCGUGCCAGCAGCCGCGGUAAUACGGAGGGCGCAAGCGUUACUCGGAAUCACUGGGCGUAAAGAGCGUGUAGGCGGAUUAAAAAGUCAGAAGUGAAAUCCUAUAGCUUAACUAUAGAACUGCUUCUGAAACUCUUAAUCUAGAAUAUGGGAGAGGUAGAUGGAAUUUCUGGUGUAGGUGUAAAAUCCGUAGAGAUCAGAAGGAAUACCGAUUGCGAAGGCGAUCUACUAGAACAUUAUUGACGCUGAGACGCGAAAGCGUGGGGAGCAAACAGGAUUAGAUACCCCAGUAGUC